GAUGAACGCUGGCGGCGUGCCUAAUACAUGCAAGUCGAGCGAACAGACGAGGAGCUUGCUCCUCUGACGUUAGCGGCGGACGGGUGAGUAACACGUGGAUAACCUACCUAUAAGACUGGGAUAACUUCGGGAAACCGGAGCUAAUACCGGAUAAUAUAUUGAACCGCAUGGUUCAAUAGUGAAAGACGGUUUUGCUGUCACUUAUAGAUGGAUCCGCGCCGCAUUAGCUAGUUGGUAAGGUAACGGCUUACCAAGGCAACGAUGCGUAGCCGACCUGAGAGAGUGAUCGGCCACCCUGGAGCUGGGACACGGUCCAGGCUACUACGGGAGGCAGCAGUAGGGAAUCUUCCGCAGUGGGCGAGAGCUUUACGGAGCGACCCCGCGUGAGUGAUGAAGAUCUUCGGAUCGUGAAACUCUGUUAUUAGGGAAAAACAAAUGUGUAAGUAACUAUGCACGUCUUGACGGUACCUGAUCAGAAAGCCACGGCUAACUACGUG
rnacentral:rRNA from 1 species